GACGAACGCUGGCGGCGUGCCUAAUACAUGCAAGUAGAACGCUGAAGGAGGAGCUUGCUUCUCUGGAUGAGUUGCGAACGGGUGAGUAACGCGUAGGUAACCUGCCUGGUAGCGGGGGAUAACUAUUGGAAACGAUAGCUAAUACCGCAUAAUAGUAGAUGUUGCAUGACAUUUGCUUAAAAGGUGCAAUUGCAUCACUACCAGAUGGACCUGCGUUGUAUUAGCUAGUUGGUGGGGUAACGGCUCACCAAGGCGACGAUACAUAGCCGACCUGAGAGGGUGAUCGGCCACACUGGGACUGAGACACGGCCCAGACUCCUACGGGAGGCAGCAGUAGGGAAUCUUCGGCAAUGGACGGAAGUCUGACCGAGCAACGCCGCGGGAGUGAAGAAGGUUUUCGGAUCGUAAAGCUCUGUUGUAAGAGAAGAACGAGUGUGAGAGUGGAAAGUUCACACUGUGACGGUAUCUGACCAGAAAGGGACGGCUAACUACGUG
rnacentral:rRNA from 1 species